rnacentral:sRNA from 1 species
AGAAGGAAACUUGACUCGACUGCUGAGAAGGGGGAUACAAUUGUCCCACACCGGCCACAGCUCUGGUUAUUAGUCAUUUACAUAAAGAAACUGCGCAACGAGAAUUGUCCCUUCGGGACCUCCGUUCAAUUUUUUUCCAUGAAAUUGAAUGGAUUUUGAAGCAUUUUCCUUCUGUUUUUUUUUUUUUUUUUCCCACCCAGUUUGGGUCAAUUGGAAUGCAGAUUGAGGAUCUUUUGGUGUUGGGAAGUAUUUCACGCUUUGAUGGGUCCGUCUCACUGUCUGACUGUCUGAAUUUUCAUAUUCCAGGUAAAUAAUGAUGGUUCAGUUCAGCUAUCUGAUGCACUUUCACUCGAUGCGUAUACUUAUCGUGCAAGAAACUAUCUGAUUAUGAAAGGCUAGUUCAGAUUACCUUCUCAUCGCCAUAUCUGGCCCAAAAGCGUGCAGUGGCUCGCUCAAGAGGAUCUUCCGGCAGAGCACUGGAAUUUUCUUAUGAAUAGGGUUAGACUGAAGAAGUAAAGGGCUUUUGUUCGAAAGAUCUUCGUAGAUUGUUUCGUAAGGGAUGCCUUUAAGUUGCAGCGCCCAAACGAUUCUCAGGCCGAAAGGGCUUGACCAUGUCCUAAGGAGUUUCACUUCUGCCAUUUUUGCUGGUAGUUUGAGCUAUCUUCUGCUAGGCAGGCCUUUUAUGCUUAAUUUUCAGUGUGGAAUUUCGCAUUGUCUCCCUAGACUUCAUUGUAUUUAUUAUUGAAGCCUUCUAUAUUGUAAAAUUUGAAUUGCUCCCCCGUAUCUGAUAUAUAUCACUCGUUGCCACGUAAUUUUACAUGAUUUUUCAUUUUUAAUUAAUUUUCUCUAA